UCACGACAUUUGCUAUCUCACUUCUUCUCUCUCAUGAGUUGUGGCCUCCUUUUUUGCAAAAAAACGAUUCGACGCUCUCUCGGUCUCUCUGCCUCCGGCGAAUCUAGUACCGUUUCUCCGUCUCCGCCGGUUCUCCUCUGUCUCCGCCGCUCGGUUUCCCUCUCUCUCCGCCGCUCGGUUUCCCUCUCUCUCCGCCGCUCGGUUCUCCAUCUCCGCUGCUCGGUUCUCCUCUGUCUCCACUCCAUCCCCGGGUUGGACUGAUUACUCAUCUGCCUUGGCCAACGAAACUAUAGCAAAGAGAUGAUAGUAAUCGAUGUGUCAGACUUAAUCUCUCCAAGGUAUGCUCGUAUGUCUGAGAAUUAUGAAGAUGUAUAUGUUUUGGAUGUUGAACUUAUGAAAUUUAUGAUUUUGAUUUUAUUCAAGCAUUUUAGAUACGUUUUGGAUGUUGGAUAUAUUUUGGAUAUUGAAUUUUAUGUUAUUAAUGUAUUAAUUUUGUGUA